rnacentral:rRNA from 1 species
UACGUAGGGGGGCUAGCGUUGUCCGGAAUCAUUGGGCGUAAAGCGCGCGUAGGUGGCUUCGUAAGUCCGUUGUGAAAGUCAAAGGCUCAACCUUUGAAAGCCGAUGGAUACUGCGGAGCUAGAGUACGGAAGAGGCGAGUGGAAUUCCUGGUGUAGCGGUGAAAUGCGCAGAUAUCAGGAGGAACACCAAUUGCGAAGGCAGCUCGCUGGGACGUUACUGACGCUGAGACGCGAAAGCGUGGGGAGCGAACAGG